AUGUUUCUGCUUUCAAGCCAGAUUGCAACAUGUUUAGUAUUUUUUUUUAAUGUGCAUUACUGUAAGAUACUUCUGUCGUUAUGAGAAUAUUAUCUGGAUGUAUCAGUGCGUUCCAACUUACAAGAGUCUGCAACAAAACAUGAAAUAUCAUCCCUUUGCACCGCCUCUUAAGGAACUGCAAAAUGAAAAUAUUAUGGUCAUGCUAAAAAGUGGAAUGUUCAUUUUUUUGUUUGUUGUAAUUCACUUAAGGGCAUUGAGGUUGUUUAAAUCCUUUUCCCCUUAUGCCCUCAUUCCCUCCCUAUAUGUGACAUAA